UCACCAAAUUCGAAUCAAAUGAUCUUCAGGCUAUACUGAUUCAAAGUUAUGGAUUUUGAGUCGAUAGACAAAACCGUUUUCGCAUACCACAUCGACGAAUUUGAGGCACAAUGAGAAAAUGACACUUGAGGCUGUAUCCCUGGAAUGCUUUGGCAUAUUGACACCAAACUUUGUGUGUGUCAUUGAAAAGACACACAGAGUACACCAAAUUGAUUUUAUAACAGUGUCACCUAUUGGUCAAGCUUGAUAAACCAAGUAAUCAUGCUACUAGAGGUGGUAUUAUGAUUUUUUUUUGCCAUUUCAAAUACAAUAAUUCCAGAAUUGCUGUUAUUGCUCAUUAAUGUAUUUGGUGUGAUGCUUUAUGCGAUGCUUAGCUACUACAUUUGCCGUUGGAGUGCUUGGCCCCGUAAUUGCUGCUUGCAGCUAUAUUUAUUCUUCUUCUUCUUCUUCUUCUUCUUCCGCCGCAAGUCUAUGGCAGCCCAUAGAACCGAUUGCGGGAAAGUUGUAUAAUUUGGCACACUGAUAGAGGACAGUCCCAACAUUAACUAUAGCAAAUUUGAAGUCUCUAUCUCCUACUCUCUAGCGCCACCACUUGUCCAAACUUUCAAUGUUUGUAUGCUAAUAACUUUUGAACCGAAAGCCAGAAAAUGGAAAUUCUUUUUUCCUCUGAAACCUUGGCUCAUGCCAAGUCGAAUGAACCCCAAAAUUCAAAAAUCGCAAGGUUUAGUUUUUUCGCUAUUUUCAAUUAUUCGAAAAACCUACUUUUUCGAACUCGUCCUAGACGGUUAGUCCGAUUGCCAAGAAAAUUGGCUCAGAUCAUCUUCAGACCAUGCUGGCAAAAAGUUAUGGAAUUCAAGUUGAUUCGUCCAACUGUUGUCGAAUGACACGUAAACAAAUUUGACGAAAAGCACGCAAACAUGCACGUGAGGCUAUAUCCCGGCAACGGUUUGUCAUAUUGAGACCAAACUUGGCGUGUGUUAUAACAAGCAUGAACUGAGACUACCUGCUGUGUUUCGACACAGCGCCACCUAGUGGUCAGGAGAUAUGAAAAAUGCAUAUUUUGGCUUAUAACUACUGAAUGGUUUGGCCAAAAAUCACACAACUGGUCUCUUUAGAUUCAGUGAGUCAUGUCGAGUCGAAUGAUAUCCAAUUUUCCUGUGUCGGCCAUUUUAGGCGUCGGCCAUUUUGAAUUAUGUUUCAAAAUGCUGUAUUUUUUGAACGCAGCAUCGUAUCGUUUCGCAAAUAAUUACAAAAAUAUUCGGCUCCAUGCCCUGAAGGUACUCAAAAAGUUUGGUGGCAGCGCCACCUUGUGGCCAAUAGUUAUAAUGAAAUAUCACAUAAAUGCUAAUAACUUUUGAAUAAAUUAGUCUAUUAAAAUUAAAAUGGUCUCGCUAUAUUCUGUGGGUCAUGCCGAGAGUAUUGAUACCAAUAAUGUGAAAAUUGGCCUUACUUCCUGUCCGCCAUUUUGCUUAAUGUUGAAAACCUACUUUUUCGAACUCCUCCUAGACCGUUAGCCCAAUUUUCACCAAAUUUGACGUGAAUCAUCUUCAGACCAUGCUGGCAAAAAGUUAUGGAUUUUGUGUCGAUAUACGUAACGGUUCUCAUUUAGCGCAUCAACGAAUUUGCUGGAAGGGUGCCAAAAUGCAUUUGAGGCUGUAUCUCUGCAACACUUUGACAUAUUUGCACCAAACUUUGUAUGUGUCAUCGCCACCUCACACUGACCAUGCCACAUAAAUUUGGUAACAGCGCCACCUAUUGGUCAAGAGUAAUAAACCAUUCAUUAACCAUGAGUAAUUACACUUUUUAAAAUGCUAAUAACUUUUUAAUGCAUUAGCCUAUUUGAAGGAAACUGGGCUCAAAAUAUUCCCUGGCUUAUGCCGAUAACAUAGAUACCAAAUAUACCAUGGUAAGCUGAACUUCCGGUCCGCCAUUUUGAUUUAUGUUGAAAACAUACUUUUUCGAACUCCUCAUCAACCGUAUGUCCGAUUUUCACCAAAUUCGAAUCAAAUGAUCUUCAGACUAUGUUGACACAAAGUUAUGGAUUUUGUGUCGAUAGACAAAACCGUUUUCGCAUACCAAAGCGACGAAGUUGAAACACAAUGACAAAAUGACACUUGAGGCUGCAUCUCUGGAAUGCUGUGGCAUAUUAACACCAAACUUUGUGUGUGUCAUUGAAAAGUCAAACAGAGUACACCAAAUUGAUUUCAUAACAGUGCCACCUAUUGGUCAAACUUUAUAAGCCAAGUAAUCAUGCUACUAGAGGUGGUAUUAUGAUUUUUUUUUUGCCAUUUCAAUUACAAUAAUUCCAAAAUUGCUGUUAUUGCUCAUUAAUGUAUUUGGUGUGAUGCUUCAUGCCAUGCUUAGCUCCUACAUUUGCCGUUGGAGUGCUUGGCCCCGUAAUUGCUGCUUGCAGCUAUAUUUAGGGGCCAAGCACCGAAGGUGCGUAGGCACCUAUUGUUUUCGUUGGCGUUAUUAUUAUUCUUCUUCUUCUUCUUCCGCCGCAAGUCUAUGGCAGCCCAUAGAACCGUUUGCGGGAAAGUUGUAUAAUUUGGCACACUGAUAGAGGACAGUCCCAACAUUAACUAUAGCAAAUUUGAAGCCUCUAACUCCUACUCUCUAGCGCCACCACUUGUCCAAACUUUCAAUGUUUGUAUGCUAAUAACUUUUGAACCGUAAGCCAGAAAAUGGAAAUUCUUUUUUCCUCUGAAUCCUUGGCUCAGGCCAAGUCGAAUGAACCCUAAAAUUCAAAAAUCGCAAGGUUUAGUUUUUUCGCUAUUUUCAAUUAUUCGAAAAACCUACUUUUUCGAACUCGUCCUAGACGGUUAGUCCGAUUGCCACGAAAAUUGGCUCAGAUCAUCUUCAGACCAUGCUGGCAAAAAGUUAUGGAAUUCAAGUUGAUUCGUCCAACUGUUGUCGAAUGACACGUAAACAAAUUUGACGAAAAGCACGCAAACAUGCACGUGAGGCUAUAUCCCGGCAACGGUUUGUCAUAUUGAGACCAAACUUGGCGUGUGUUAUAACAAGCAUGAACUGAGACUACCUGCUGUGUUUCGACACAGCGCCACCUAGUGGUCAGGAGAUAUGAAAAAUGCAUAUUUUGGCUUAUAACUACUGAAUGGUUUGGCCAAAAAUCACACAACUGGUCUCUUUAGAUUCAGUGAGUCAUGUCGAGUCGAAUGAUAUUCAAUUUUCCUGUGUCGGCCAUUUUAGGCGUCGGCCAUUUUGAAUUAUGUUUCUAAAUGCUGUAUUUUUUGAACGCAGCAUCGUAUCGUUUCGCAAAUAAUUACAAAAAUAUUCGGCUCCAUGCCCUGAAGGUACUCAAAAAGUUUGGUGGCAGCGCCACCUUGUGGCCAAUAGUUAUAAUGAAAUAUCACAUAAACGCUAAUAACUUUUGAAUAAAUUAGUCUAUUAAAAUUAAAAUGGUCUCGCUAUAUUCUGUGGGUCAUGCCGAGAGUAUUGAUACCAAUAAUGUGAAAAUUGGCCUUACUUCCUGUCCGCCAUUUUGCUUAAUGUUGAAAACCUACUUUUUCGAACUCCUCCUAGACCGUUAGCCCAAUUUUCACCAAAUUUGACGUGAAUCAUCUUCAGACCAUGCUGGCAAAAAGUUAUGGAUUUUGUGUCGAUAUACGUAACGGUUCUCAUUUAGCGCAUCAACGAAUUUGCUGGAAGGGUGCCAAAAUGCAUUUGAGGCUGUAUCUCUGCAACACUUUGACAUAUUUGCACCAAACUUUGUAUGUGUCAUCGCCACCUCACACUGACCAUGCCACAUAAAUUUGGUAACAGCGCCACCUAUUGGUCAAGAGUAAUAAACCAUUCAUUAACCAUGAGUAAUUACACUUUUUAAAAUGCUAAUAACUUUUUAGUCCAUUAGCCUAUUGCAACGAAACUGGGCUCAAAAUAUUCCCUGGCUUAUGCCGAUAACAUAGAUACCAAAUAUGCCAGUGUUUACUGAAGUUCCGGUCCACCAUUUUGAUUUAUGUGGAAAACCUACUUUUUCGAACUCCUCAUGAACCGUAUGUCCAAUUUUCACCAAAUUCGAAUCAGAUGAUCUUCAGACUAUGUUGACACAAAGUUAUGGAUUUUGUGUCGAUAGACAAAACCGUUUUCGCAUACCAAAGCGACGAAGUUGAAACACAAUGACAAAAUGACACUUGAGGCUGCAUCUCUGGAAUGCUGUGGCAUAUUAACACCAAACUUUGUGUGUGUCAUUGAAAAGUCAAACAGAGUACACCAAAUUGAUUUCAUAACAGUGCCACCUAUUGGUCAAACUUUAUAAGCCAAGUAAUCAUGCUACUAGAGGUGGUAUUAUGAUUUUUUUUUUUGCCAUUUCAAUUACAAUAAUUCCAAAAUUACUGUUAUUGCUCAUUAAUGUAUUUGGUGUGAUGCUUCAUGCCAUGCUUAGCUCCUACAUUUGCCGUUGGAGUGCUUGGCCCCGUAAUUGCUGCUUGCAGCUAUAUUUAGGGGCCAAGCACCGAAGGUGCGAAGGCACCUAUUGUGUUUGUUGGCGUUAUUAUUAGGGGCCAAGCACCGAAGGUGCGAAGGCACCUAUUGUGUUUGUUGGCGUUAUUAUUAGGGGCCAAGCACCGAAGGUGCGUAGGCACCUAUUGUUUUCGUUGGCGUUAUUAUUAGGGGCCAAGCACCGAAGGUGCGAAGGCACCUAUUGUGUUUGUUGGCGUUAUUAUUAGGGGCCAAGCACCGAAGGUGCGUAGGCACCUAUUGUUUCCGUUGGCGUUAUUAUUAUUAUUCUGCUUCUUCUUCUUCUUCUUCUUCCGCCGCAAGUCUAUGGCAGCCCAUAGAACCGAUUGCGGGAAAGUUGUAUAAUUUGGCACACUGAUA